GACGAAGGAUGCAAGCGUUAUCCGGAUUCAUUGGGUUUAAAGGGUGUGUAGGCGGGCUUUUAAGUCAGUGGUGAAAUCUCCGGGCUCAACCCGGAAACUGCCAUUGAUACUAUUAGUCUUGAAUUCUGUUGAGGUAGGCGGAAUAAGUCAUGUAGCGGUGAAAUGCUUAGAUAUGACUUAGAACACCAAUUGCGAAGGCAGCUUGCUAAACAGAUAUUGACGCUGAGGCACGAAAGCGUGGGGAUCAAACAGG
rnacentral:rRNA from 1 species